CUUUUUGUUGUCUGGGCUUUCUGGGUCUAUCACCCCCAUAUCAGAAAGCCCUUACCCCAAAAAGCAU
rnacentral:pre_miRNA from 1 species